AAACAAUGGCAUCCAAAGCAUUGGCAGCUCUGGUGGUCCUUGUACUCCUCGCCGGCGGCAAGCUUGGCCACGCCGUGCUGGUCAGCGGCCGUCCCCCGGUUUCCACUCUGCCGCACCCAUCGUCAUCCACUACUGCUGGUCAGGCUACCAACAUGAACGCCAUGGAUGGAGCAUCAGCAGCCACUACUCAUCGCCAACUCAGGAUCGGAGAAGGUGAGGAAAAAUCCAUUUCUGUGAACAGCCUGCCGACGGUGCACAUGAGGGUGCCGGUUAUUAUCCCCAAAUCCACCUAAUCCCAUGCAGUACGUACGUGCAGCCAAGCUGACGAUCGAUCGACCUCAACAACAAACAUGUAUCAUGAUUUUCAGAAGAAUAAAAUAGUCGCGAAAAAAUGAGAAGAAUAAGUCGUGGAGUAAGUUAGUUGGCUGCUGUGCUGUGUUACCAUGGAGAGGCUGGAAGUUGUAAGUUCUAAGUGAUGGCUCCAUAAUUACGAAUGUACUCUCCCUUUUUCUGAAAAACAGAAGGUACUGUGCUGGCGCACAUGGGACGGGUCUCCAGGAUUGACCUUCUUUCUUUA